AACUGAUACUACCUGCGGGAACCUGCGGAGGGAUCAUUACCUAGAGUUUGUAGACUUCGGUCUGCUACCUCUUACCCAUGUCUUUUGAGUACCUUCGUUUCCUCGGUGGGUCCGCCCGCCGACUGGACAACAUUCAAACCCUUUGCAGUUGCAAUCAGCGUCUGAAAAAAACAUAAUAGUUACAACUUUUAGCAACGGAUCUCU
rnacentral:misc_RNA from 1 species